rnacentral:rRNA from 1 species
AUGCUCUCGACGAACUUGGACUCGGUGAUUUGGCCGCACACUGCUUCUGGUCGUUUCUCUGUUAAAUCGCUUUAUUCUAAGCUUAUUGGUGGCACCCCUACUAACAGAUUCUCUCAGGUCUGGAAGGCCCGGAUCCCUCCUAAAGUUAAGAUUUUCUUAUGGCAAGCUUUUAGGGGCCGGCUGCCUUCGGCUGACCAAAUUCGUAAGAGGAAUGGUCCGGGUUCACAAUUUUGUGCCUUGUGUGGUGACUUGGAGGAUACAGCUCAUAUCUUCUUUCAUUGUGUCUUGGCUAAGCUGAUCUGGAGUUGCAUUAGAGAGUGGCUUCAUGUAGCCUGGGACCCUGCUUCGUUCUCCGAGCUCCGGGCUCUUGCUAAUAAUCUGUCGGGCGUUACUAGACGUAUCUUUUGGGUGGGCCUGGGAGCUAUUUGUUGGUCUCUUUGGACGACUAGGAACAAAUUUACUAUUGAACAUGUGUUUCCGGCUAAACCUGCUGAUUGCUUAUUUAAAUCAUGUGCUCUAUUGCAGCAGUGGAAAUCAUUGACUAAGGUGGAGGACCAAGAUGCGAUGUCUGGGCUGAUCUCCAAAGUUCGGGCCUCGGCGUCUAAUCUAUGCAGACAAAAGCAAGAUGCUUAG